UGGGGAAUAUUGCACAAUGGGCGCAAGCCUGAUGCAGCCAUGCCGCGUGUGUGAAGAAGGCCUUCGGGUUGUAAAGCACUUUCAGCGGGGAGGAAGGCGUUAAGGUUAAUAACCUUGGCGAUUGACGUUACCCGCAGAAGAAGCACCGGCUAACUCCGUGCCAGCAGCCGCGGUAAUACGGAGGGUGCAAGCGUUAAUCGGAAUUACUGGGCGUAAAGCGCACGCAGGCGGUUUGUUAAGUCAGAUGUGAAAUCCCCGGGCUCAACCUGGGAACUGCAUCUGAUACUGGCAAGCUGGAGUCUCGUAGAGGGGGGUAGAAUUCCAGGUGUAGCGAUGAAAUGCGUAGAGAUCUGGAGGAAUACCGGUGGCGAAGGCGGCCCCCUGGACGAAGACUGACGCUCAGGUGCGAAAGCGUGGGGAGCAAACAGG
rnacentral:rRNA from 1 species